CGUUCACCUGUGAAGGGAGAAAAGCGGGGUCAGGAGGCAGCGGGAGAGGGGCGUGCUGGAGGGCAAGGCAGCUAGAGGCUAUUCUCCUUUCCUUCAGUCUAGAACAUGUCCGGGGGCUUCCCAGUCCCUGAUCACAUGGGAUCAAUGGGAGGCCCAGGGAGGGUCCAGCCUCCGACUGCCUGGAGCUCCUUUUGGGGCUGAAUUCUUAUUCUGGAGUCUCCGCGGUGUGGUUCCUGCACAUGCUCGCAGUGACCCAGGCUCUCCCAGCACCAAGGAAGGAAAAUCACCAAAGUAAACUUUCCUUUCUAAUCAGACCUUGCUCUGAUGCCUGCUCUUCAUUUUCAUCCCUGCCUCCGAGUCCUACUUACGCUGCUUCAGCCGCUGGAUUGUUACCUUUUCUCCCUGCCACUCCAGUGCCGUGCCGGUCACCUGCGGGAAGUGGCCAGCCCGUGCCGCUCUCCCUCACCUGCAGCCCACCUCCUGCACUCCGGUGCUCCUCCUCACCAGCCUCAACAAGCCAACACUGCCCCAGGCCCUGGCAGGGUGCUGAACACACAGGUGGGGUCUGCAAGGCCCGGUGGACAGCUCACAGUCUCUGGGGGGCAGUGUUGGCUUGAUGAACAGAAUUCACUGACAGGUUCUAAAACGACCAAAUAGGAGAUCAAAGGGCUCAGGAGUCUAAUCCCCCAUGGGCCAUUUGCUCUCUCUUGCCUAGGGUAUCCCAAGCGGCCUGGAGCUGGUGUGUGCCCUCUGAUACUGGUCACAUUCCUGGAUGUGGGGAGUAAUCCACAAACCAUUCAACUUUCUUCUUUUGUAUAAAGGUGACUCACUGUAUGUAGAACUUGGCUUUGAGUCCUUAGUAAGAAUUUCUGUGUAAAGAAAAUAGCAGGUGUGUGCACGUGCACACACAUACAACUCUAGAGAUCCCUCAAAUUCCUGCCACUCAACACUGUCACCUUGCUAGUGUGCAUGGGCUCUCGGGGUCAUAUGCCCACCACGUAAGUCACGUUCUAGAUCACUUCUGUGUCUGACAGAACUAUCUGCUCAUUCCUACAGGCUUCAGAAUCGAUCCUCUGACACUUUUCAAAUUACUUUGUGUUGCUGCCACCUUCACGUUGAAAACCUUCAUUGCUUUUUGUUUUUUGUUUUAAAGUAUUUCCUUUUUUACCCACCACGCGGUUGCUAACCUAGCUCCCUUGUAACAGGUGGGCAGGUUUGGGAAAGAGCCAGAAGACAGAAUCUGCAGGAUGGAAAGUUUGAAAAGUGAGGGGAGAGUGUAGGACACCAGACCCUGAAGGCCUCUGAAUGUGAAUUUAGAGAAGAUGACAGUCUGCUAAUUUCCCAAAGAUCCGCCCCUGGGCCUGAGAGAGCAAGGCGUGACCGCUUCGCCGUGCUGCUGCCAGAACCGGUCGGGGAGCCCAGGCCUGCACACCCCCAGCCCCGAAUUCACUGGGGCCACCACGGGGGAGCUGUGUACCCUGCUUCCCUCCUUCAGAGACCUGGCUGUUCCUGCCACACUCAAGGAACGUACCUGACCGCUGCCUCUUGGAAGCUUGGUGUGGGGCCGGGGGUGGGGGUGAUGGGGCAGAACUAGGUCUUAGUUCCCUUAUCCACAGCACCUACGAACACCUGGCUGAACGAACCUGUCCAGGGGACUCUUCCUCCCAUCAUGGUAUUUUUAGACCCCGGGUUACAAAAGGAUGGAGGCGAGGUAGGUGGUGACUGGGGAUGCUUUCUGAUGUCUUAACUCCAGCCAGGGAAGCUGAGACAUUACGGUUUAAGACAAAAAAAC